AAGCAUAUCAAUAAGCGGAGGAAAAGAAACAACAGGGAUUGCCUCAGUAACGGCGAGUGAAGCGGCAACAGCUCAAAUUUGAAAUCUGGCCCUUGGGUCCGAAUUGUAAUUUGCAGAGGAUGCUUUUGGCGAGGUGCCUUCCGAGUUCCCUGGAACGGGACGCCACAGAGGGUGAGAGCCCCGUCCGGAUGUGCCACCAAGCCUCUGUAAAGCUCCUUCGACGAGUCGAGUAGUUUGGGAAUGCUGCUCUAAAUGGGAGGUGUAUGUCUUCUAAAGCUAAAUACCGGCCAGAGACCGAUAGCGCACAAGUAGAGUGAUCGAAAGAUGAAAAGUACUCUGAAGAGAGAGUUAAAUAGCACGUGAAAUUGUUGAAGGGGAAGCGUUUAUGACCAGACUUGGGGCUGGCCGAUCAUCCAGGGUUCUCUCUGGUGCACUCGCCAGUCUUAGGCCAGCAUCAGUUUGCGCCGGGGGAUAAAGGCUUCGGGAACGUAGCUCCUCUCGGGGAGUGUUAUAGACCGUUGCGUAAUACCCUGGUGCGGACUGAGGAACGCGCUUCGGCACGGAUGCUGGCGUAAUGGUCAUCAACGACCCGUCUUG
rnacentral:rRNA from 1 species